rnacentral:rRNA from 1 species
UACGUAGGUGGCGAGCGUUGUCCGGAUUUACUGGGCGUAAAGGGAGCGUAGGCGGACUUUUAAGUGAGAUGUGAAAUACCCGGGCUCAACUUGGGUGCUGCAUUUCAAACUGGAAGUCUAGAGUGCAGGAGAGGAGAAUGGAAUUCCUAGUGUAGCGGUGAAAUGCGUAGAUAUUGGGAAGAACACCGGUGGCGAAGGCGACUUGCUGGGCAGCAACUGACGCUGAGGCGCGAAAGCCAGGGGAGCAAACGGGAUUAGAUACCCUGGUA